UACGUAGACCUCAAGCGUUAUCCGGAUUUAUUGGGCGUAAAGAGUAUGUAGGGGGUUUCGCGCGUCUUCUGUUAAAGCCCACCGCCUAACGGUGGAAGUGCAGAGGAUACGGCGAGACUAGAGGAGGUUAGAGGUGCAUGGAGCGCACGGUGUAGGGGUGAAAUCCGUUGAUAUCGUGCGAAACACCAAAGGCGAAGGCAGUGCACUGGGACCUUCCUGACCCUGAGAUACGAAAGCGUGGGGAG
rnacentral:rRNA from 1 species